AGAUAUAGAUUAGAUAUAGAUAUAGAUAUUUUGUUCGUUCAUUGGUUCAUUUGUUAGCUGCCCUUUGCCCUAAGGUUCCAGGGCGGUGUUGCAGCAUUAAAACACCAUAUUAAAAACAAUUUUAAACAGCCUACAAUCGUAAGAAAAAGUGAUUCCUAAAAACAUACACACCUCAACUGUCAAAAGCCAUCAGCUGUACUAUUUAUACACAACGCAUGUAUGGGGGGGGGGAAUGACAGUGAAGACCACUUUUCCGUUUGUUUCUCAUUUUACCUCAGACUUCCUCUUCGUCUAUGAAGUAGCUGUUUGCACGAAUGUAGGGAAAAUGGAAGGAGCGUGAGGGAAGGGCAGGGAGAAACAGAGAAAGCAUAAGAGAGAGCGGGAGAGGCCAUACGUGUGAGGAGGACAACAAUGCUGAGGAGAGAUAGAAGAAGCGAUUAUGUGACAGGAUUUUACACAGAGGACUCUGAGGGCGCUGUGUUGUGAGGCAAGAAAUGGACCCAUGGCUGACCCUGGCACCAGAAUGAGCGGAUUCAGGAAAACGAUGGCGUGAAGGCAAAGGACACAAUCGUCUAGAUAUUUCUGGACUACAUCUUCAAGCAGCCCCUGGCAGCAGAGCCAAUGAUCAGAAAUGGUAACAGCAGUCCUACAACUGGAGGGCCACAGGUUCCUCCCACUGGAGACUGGUAUUGGUUAGGACAUCUGGCCAUGGCCUACUGUUUCCUUAAAGCAUUCAGUUAGGAAGGCUAUAGCCUUUUCUAUUCCUGGUCUGCAGCAUCAUUUGUUGCCAUAGCUAGUGUGUGUAUGUUCAAAUUCAGUUACCUAUGUUUGCCUUCUUGUGUCCACUGGCCUCCAUCAGCACUUGAAUAUAAAACUUCUUUCCAACAGCGGUGGAAAGUGAGUUUUCUUCCUAGCUGUUCAAGAAAGCCAGUCCUCCUUAAGUAAUGGCAGUAUGGUGCUCCUAGCUGAUGGGGUGAGAAUAGCUAUCUCAGAAAGAUGCUAUUUAGGCAGAUACCUGGCAGCCAGCACCACUGGAUUAUUUAGCCUGGUGAGACACGCAGCUUGCUUCCAUAAGGAAGACAGCCUCCGUGGACUCUUCCUCGACACUACUUCCAGAUUUGCAGAGUCCGUAAACCAAAUUGUUUGUAAACAGGACUGUUCUUAAACCGAGGUACCACUGUACAUAAGUUAGAUGCCAAUACGAGAUAGAAAGACUUUCCUUGGGCAUCUGAGUAAGAAUUUUGUACAUAACUAAACUGCCUCAAUUUGGAAAAAGAUGUAGAGCAUGCCAUUAGAUAGCUUGAUAGAAUGCUAAUUGUGGAGCUACCUGCCUCUUCACAGCUGAAAAGGCAGUUAAAAUGAAGUGUUUGAGACAAGUUAUUUAAGGUUUUAGCACUCUCCCCAGUCAGAUCAUUCAUUGCUGUCAUUCAAAAGGAUUAUAAUAUCUAAGUAAACAAGAGACAGAAAUGGUUGUUUGAAACCUUUAAUUUCUUUU